UAACGCGUAGGUAACCUGCCUGGUAGCGGGGGAUAACUAUUGGAAACGGUAGCUAAUACCGCAUAAGAGUAGAUGUUGCAUGACAUUUACUUAAAAGGUGCAAUUGCAUCACUACCAGAUGGACCUGCGUUGUAUUAGCUAGUUGGUGGGGUAACGGCUCACCAAGGCGACGAUACAUAGCCGACCUGAGAGGGUGAUCGGCCACACUGGGACUGAGACACGGCCCAG
rnacentral:rRNA from 1 species